rnacentral:rRNA from 1 species
ACUGCAGUCGAACGCGAAAGCCCCUUCGGGGGCAAGUAGAGUGGCGCACGGGUGAGUAACACGUAGGUAAUCUACCUUUGGAUGGGGAAUAACAACCGGAAACGGUUGCUAAUACCGCAUAAUGCAGCGGCACCUAAUGGUGACAGUUGUUAAAGCGGGGGAUCGAAAGACCUCGCGUCUGAAGAGGAGCCUGCGGCGGAUUAGCUAGUUGGUAAGGUAACGGCUUACCAAGGCGAUGAUCCGUAGCCGGCCUGAGAGGGCGGUCGGCCACACUGACACUGACAUACGGGUCAGACUCCUACGGGAGGCAGCAGUCGGGAAUUUUGGGCAAUGGGCGAAAGCCUGACCCAGCAACGCCGCGUGAAGGAUGAAAUCCCUCGGGAUGUAAACUUCGCAAGAACGGGAAGAAUAAGUAAGAGUUAAUAUCUCUUACGAUGACGGUACUGUUUGUAAGCUCCGGCUAACUCCGUGCCAGCAGCCGCGGUAAUACGGGGGGAGCAAGCGUUGUUCGGAUUUACUGGGCGUAAAGGGCGCGUAGGCGGCCACCGCAAGUCGACUGUGAAAUCUCCGGGCUUAACCCGGAACGGUCAGCCGAUACUGCGGGGCUAGAGUGCAGAAGGGGCAACUGGAAUUCUCGGUGUAGCGGUGAAAUGCGUAGAUUUCGAGAGGAACACCUGCGGCGAAGGCGGGUUGCUGGGGCUGACACUGACGCUGAGGCGCGAAAGCUAGGGGAGCGAACGGGAUUAGAUACCCCCGGUAGUCCUAGCCUUAAACGAUGAAGGCUUGGGUGUC